AACGAACGCUGGCGGCAGGCUUAACACAUGCAAGUCGAACGCAUCGCAAGAUGAGUGGCAGACGGGUGAGUAACGCGUGGGAACAUACCCUUUUCUACGGAAUAGCUCUGGGAAACUGGAAUUAAUACCGUAUACGCCCUACGGGGGAAAGAUUUAUCGGGGAAGGAUUGGCCCGCGUUGGAUUAGCUAGUUGGUGGGGUAAAGGCCUAGCAAGGCGACGAUCCAUAGCUGGUCUGAGAGGAUGAUCAGCCACAUUGGGACUGAGACACGGCCCAAACUCCUACGGGAGGCAGCAGUGGGGAAUAUUGGACAAUGGGCGCAAGCCUGAUCCAGCCAUGCCGCGUGAGUGAUGAAGGCCUUAGGGUUGUAAAGCUCUUUCACCGAUGAAGAUAAUGACAGUAGUCGGAGAAGAAGCCCCGGCUAACUUCGUGCCAGCCGCCGCGGUAA
rnacentral:rRNA from 1 species